CCUACGGGGCGCUGCAGUCGAGAAUCAUUCACAAUGGGGGAAACCCUGAUGGUGCGACGCCGCGUGGGGGAAUGAAGGUCUUCGGAUUGUAAACCCCUGUCAUGUGGGAGCAAAUUAAAAAGAUAGUACCACAAGAGGAAGAGACGGCUAACUCUGUGCCAGCAGCCGCGGUAAUACAGAGGUCUCAAGCGUUGUUCGGAAUCACUGGGCGUAACGCGUGCGUAGGCUGUUUCGUAAGUCGUGUGUGAAAGGCGCGGGCUCAACCCGCGGACGGCACAUGAUACUGCGAGACUAGAGUAAUGGAGGGGGAACCGGAAUUCUCGGUGUAGCAGUGAAAUGCGUAGAUAUCGAGAGGAACACUCGUGGCGAAGGCGGGUUCCUGGACAUUAACUGACGCUGAGGCACGAAGGCCAGGGGAGCGAAAGGGAUUAGAUACCCUUGUAGUC
rnacentral:rRNA from 1 species